rnacentral:rRNA from 1 species
UACGAAGGGAGCUAGCGUUGUUCGGAAUCACUGGGCGUAAAGCGCACGUAGGCGGAUGUGUCAGUCAGGGGUGAAAUCCCGGAGCUCAACUUCGGAACUGCCCUUGAUACAGCACGUCUUGAGUCCGAUAGAGGUGGGUGGAAUUCCUAGUGUAGAGGUGAAAUUCGUAGAUAUUAGGAAGAACACCGGUGGCGAAGGCGGCCCACUGGAUCGGUACUGACGCUGAGGUGCGAAAGCCAGGGGAGCGAACGGG